GGACCUGAAGCUGCUGCUUGGUGCCCAUCUUGCAGAGUCCAUCAACGCCGUGUUCCCAGUCAUCACCUGUCGUAAACCAGCCAACACUAUUCUUGUUCCAAACAGGUUCAUCAGGUUUCGCAUCCUGCUGCUGUUGCACUCCCCUGUAAAACGAUCUUUGCCAAUCGCAAAAAUAAAAUAAAAUAAUGUGUAUGGUACACCAUGGCACAACUAAUUUCCUUGGACAAAUCCUUCAUGUUGGGGACAUGGUGUGGUCUUGUGAUGAUAUUUGUGGUCCUUAUAUUGAUCCUAGGAGAUAACAUAGAAAAAUGUAUUCACUAAUGACUGCAAGCUUAGCUAGAAGUUUCCACUUGUAUGGGCAGUGCUUAAUUUCUUGGCACUUCAGCUUAUUUCAUUUGCUUUUAUUCUUGGUACAAUGAUGCUAUAGUUAUAUUAGUAGUCUGCUAUUCAGGUUAUUGCUUAAUAUUUUCUUUUAUAGGCAGGGUAAGAGGAAGCCUGGUGCAAACCAUAGCCACUAUAAGAGGCUUUUGGGGGUUGCCCGUUUGCUGUCCCAGAUGGCUGAACCUGUUAUGAAGGGAGCAGUGUAUCCUUUUUUUGUUAUUCUGUUAUUUUCUUAGCAGAAAUAAAAUAAGGUGUGCACCCGCACUUGGGUUGCCACUGAAAAGGAAAUAAAUCUCGUAGUAACUUUCAUUCGGAGUUGAUUGCUACCUAUCCAAAGUUCCUUAAUCCAUACUACAGCCAGAUCAGCUUUUUACUUGCUAGAUCUUUUUUUGUAGAACUUUGCACUGCAGUGCUUGCUUUGCUUGCAAGAGUGAGGGUCCUGACCCAACAGGUGAGCCACAUCAAACCCAUUAGGAGUCGCGUAAAUGGCGCCCUCUGGUGCAUGCCACGUUGAUCGCGUGGGUUGGGCAGGACCGCAGGAGGGCCUCCUCCUUGCCAUUUUGAGUGGGCCACGUAUUGCAAGUUGAUUGGGAAAACUGAAAGGACCGGCAACCUCCAAGCCUCGUUGCUCUAUUUCCUCCUCUAGGGUUUCCAUGUAGCCCCGCCGCCGCCCCGAUGCGCCUCUGCUGCCCUUCUCCCCCACCACCUCCGGCUCGAGCACAGCCCGACCUCACUGGCCCAAGCAGGGGUGGCGCGCCUCGUCCUCGCCUUCCUCUCAGCUCGGAGAGAGGCGACGGCUGGAUUUGGCUAAGUGGCCAGCGAGGAGGACGACUUCACCCCGCAGCCGAUGCCAACCAGCCACUUCCCUCGAGCGUCGCCAUGUUCCUCACGCGUCGCCGACCGGCGGCGAGGAAGAGGACAUCAUGAGGUUCGAGGAAGUUUCCAUCCCCACCGGCGAAGAGGACGAGGACCUCCGAUAUGACAACUCGGCUGAUAACUUUAGAAGAGCAAACAUGGUUCUAGUAUUGGAGUCUGAGCUGAUAGGACCGUGCCGUGUAGGUGGAAAGUGAUUCAAGAAAUAUAUAUAGCGUUUACCUGAAUGCACAAGAGUUGUUGCUGAGACUUCAUUAGUACAGGAGGUUGCCCACCACAAUGGUUUUGAUAUUACUUUGUGGCUCAAUUUAGUGCAGCUUCAACCAGCUACUGAAGUUGACCUCAUUCCUAGAUUGCAGAACUGUUACGACAAAACAGAGUGUGAUUCCUCUCUUAUCAGAGACCUAGACCGACCCAACAACAAGGGGAAGUAAGAAAUUUCCACAAAAGCACAGUAAAAACAUGCUCCUACUGGAUUUCACCGAGCACAGCAGCAACAUCAAGUAGAGAGGAUCGGAGCACCUGGUGUUGGCAGGGAGGAGCGAGUCUUUGGGGUCGGGCCGAUUGGGGAUACCUCUUGAUCCUCUGCGACACUGCGAUUAAAAUACUCAAUGACGAUAUGACCUGUGAUUGGUGACCUCAUACGGAAUAGGGGAGUUGUUUGAAAACAACAUCGCCGCUGUCGGGAGGUUUGCUGCGGGGAGUUCGAGGUGACCUAUCUCUGCAUGGACUACACCACCAGGGAGGCCCUCGCUCUGCGAGGGUGGGGAGCUCUUCGACCGGAUCGUUGUGAGGGGGCACUACACGGAGCACGCCGCCACUGUGGUCACCAAAACCAUCGUCGAGGUCGUGUAGGUGAACUUGGAAGUCCUUAUUACAUGGCUCCGGAGGUGUGAAAGAGAAACUAUGGCCAAUAGGUUGAUGUUUGGAGUGUAGGAGUGAUUCUUUACAUUCUUCUUUGUGGUGUCCCUCCGUUCUGGGCAGAAACUGAAGAAGGUGUUGCUCAAGCAAUUAUCCGGUCUGUCACUGAUUUUAAAAGAGAUCCAUGGCCGAGGGUCUCAGAUAAUGUAAAAGACCUUGUCAGGGCCCAGAUCCAAGGAGGCGUUUGACAGCUCAACAGGUUCCUGAUGUUACUUGAUGUUGUAUCAGUAUACAACAAGGUUACUGAUCUUACGGAUAAAAAGCAGGCUGUUAAGAUCAGUAUUGAUAAAGUACAGG